GCCGGUGUCGAUGACGGUGAGGAUCCACCUGUUCCCAUUCCGAACACAGAAGUUAAGCUCACUGGUGCCGAAGAUAG
rnacentral:rRNA from 1 species